AGCGAACGCUGGCGGCAGGCCUAACACAUGCAAGUCGAACGGAUCCUUCGGGAUUAGUGGCGGACGGGUGAGUAACACGUGGGAACGUGCCCUUUGGUUCGGAACAACUCAGGGAAACUUGAGCUAAUACCGGAUGUGCCCUUCGGGGGAAGGAUUUAUCGCCAUUGGAGCGGCCCGCGUCUGAUUAGCUAGUUGGUGAGGUAAAGGCUCACCAAGGCGACGAUCAGUAGCUGGUCUGAGAGGAUGAUCAGCCACAUUGGGACUGAGACACGGCCCAAACUCCUACGGGAGGCAUGAGUGGGGAAUCGUGCGCAAUGGGCGAAACUCUGACGCAGCCAUGCCGCGUGAAUGAUGAGGGUCUUAGGAUUGUAAAAUUCUUUCACCGGUGGCGAUAAUGGCGGUACCCUGGUAAGAAUCCCCGGCUAACUUCGUGCCAGCAGCCGCCGUAACAC
rnacentral:rRNA from 1 species